rnacentral:rRNA from 1 species
UACGAAGGGGGCUAGCGUUGCUCGGAAUCACUGGGCGUAAAGGGUGCGUAGGCGGGUCUUUAAGUCAGGGGUGAAAUCCUGGACCUCAACUCCAGAACUGCCUUUGAUACUGAAGAUCUUGAGUUCGGGAGAGGUGAGUGGAACUGCGAGUGUAGAGGUGAAAUUCGUAGAUAUUCGCAAGAACACCAGUGGCGAAGGCGGCUCACUGGCCCGAUACUGACGCUGAGGCACGAAAGCGUGGGGAGCAAACAGG